rnacentral:miRNA from 14 species
CCCGGGAGCGGGGGACCACCAGGUUGCCUAAGGAGGGGUGAACCGGCCCAGGUCGGAAUCUGCU